GUGUGACAGUAUUUUGAUUCGUAUCUACUGGAAGUGAGGAAAAAGAGAAAAGUCAAGGGCUGUUGAUGGGAGGGGGGCUGAAGAAGAAGAGCUGUCAAAAAGGUAUUCCCGAGUCUGUCUAAAAGCGGAGGGCUGGUGCUCGCUAUCCCUCCCCCCGAGCGUUAUUUCGAGGACACAUUCAGGCCCGGGGCCUCGGUGGUGCAACUUAGCUUUUCGUCUGCCCGACACUAGCUGGACCUUUCUCGGCUUCUCCUGUGCCAGCUCCGCGGCCCUCUGGAGGUCCGGCGGCGUUCUGGGGUGUCGUAGGCGGCCCGAGGAGCGGCAGCCGGGAGACGGGGAAAGUAAACCGCUCAUCCUCCUUUUUUUCCCCUCCCUGACCCCCCCAGAAGAUGUUCAAGAUGAAGGCUUUUUGCUUCCACAACUAAUGCCAAAGUGCGCCAACUAAAACCAGCAGUCCUGACCUGGCACCAUACGAAUGGCCCAGGGAAGCCACCAUAUUGAUAUUCAGGUUUUGCAUUACCUGCACCAGAAGUUCCCUGAAGUCCCAGAGGGUGUUGUGUCCCAGUGUGUUCUGCAGAAUAACAACAACUUAGAUGCGUGCUGUGAAUACUUGUCCCAGGUCAGUCCAGCCUACUUGUACAGUGAAGAAGGAAACAUCAACUUUUCUGACGACCCCAGUUUGACCAGGCUCCGUAAUCACAUGACCCAGCUGAACCUGGGUCUGCAGUCUCAGAAUGUGCACAUGGCCCCAGCGCGAGACGGCCUGAGAAUGAACGGCAGCCGGACUCUGGCCCAUAGCCUGAGCGAAGGGCCCCUGCAGACAGGCCAGGCUCCAAACAGUAACUUUUUUCAGCAGGAGCCGCAGUCUGCUCCAGUUGAAGGGCCCCCCAGUCUCAAUGUGUUUCGUGCAAUGGAGACCUCGCGCAAACCGCAGCCUCCACAGCACCUUGGACUCUACCCUCUAGGUGUCAAAGGAGCGACCAUGGGUCUCCAGCAAACACCACGUUUCAACCCUAUUACCGUGACGCUAGCUCCUCAUAUUCAGACAGGCCGCAGCACUCCUACUUCUUUACACAUACAUGGUGGGCCACAGUCAGGUCUAAGCAGUCCACAGGGUAACGCUAUCUACAUUAGGCCCUAUGUCAGUCAAUGCGGUACAACUCGACAGAAUCAGCAGCAGGGUGGCAGGGCCCAGUAUAGCCCCACUUCUCAGCCUCAGCAGCAGAUCUAUCAGAUCUCUCAUCCUUCAUCCUUGUCUGGGUCAUGGUCUGGCCCUCAUCAAUCCUCUUCCUCACAUACCUCACAACAUCAGACCCAGGGCCACCAGACAUCUCAUGUCUACAUGCCAAUUAGCUCCCCAACCAAUUCCCAGGCACCCUCCAUCCUUCCCUCUGGAAGCCAGGCGUCUUCAUCUGGUGUCUCCUCUUCUAGCUCGUCUUCGUCCUCGUCCUCCUCUUCCUCUGUCAUGCCCACCUCGCUCUCUGCUAUCAGCCAGUACAAUAUCCAGAACAUCUCCACUGGCCCGCGGAAGAAUCAGAUCGAGAUCAAACUUGAAUCUCCUCAGAGGAGUAACUCCACCACAACGACAGCUGUGCUGCGAACAGGUGGUGGGUCCCGUUCCUCCUCCACCUCAUCCUCCUGCCCGUCCUCCUCCUCCUCAACUGGUGUUUCUACAGUCCCUACCACCCCUCUCUCCAUCGGAGGCUCGGGUCUGAGCCGUAGCCAGCCCACUGUUUACAUCUCUGCUAGCCCACCCACUGCUGCUACCACGCCUUCUGAGGAGGCAGUCAUGGCCUCAACCGGAUCCCGUUCACAACCCAAGUUUUACAUUUCAACAAAUGCCUCCAGCGAUGACAGUGGGGGUAGGAACCCUCCCACAGUCUACAUCUCAGCUAACCCUCCAUUGCAGGCUCCAUCAGGUGCAAGGAACAUUGGGAGCCAGGUGAGCAUGGGCCCCGCCUAUAUCCACCACCAUCCACCUAAAUCUCGGGCUUCGGUGGGAGUGGGAAACACGGCUUCCUCGCCACGUGUGGUGGUGACUCAACCCAACACAAAAUAUACUUUCAAAAUCACUGUGUCCCCCAACAAACCCCCAGCAGUGUCUCCUGGGGUGGUGUCUCCUACAUUUGAGCCCAACAACCUCCUCAGCCUACCACCAGACCAUCACUUUGUGGAGCCAGACCCCAUCCAUCUCUCAGACCCACUUUCACCGCACAAGGAGAGACCCAGCGAGCCUCGACGACUCAGCAUGGGCUCUGAUGAUGCUGCAUACACACAAGCGUUGUUGGUCCAUCAGAAGGCCCGCAUGGAGAGGCUGUGGCAUGAACUGGAGCUAAAAAAGAAGAAGCUGGAGAAGCUAAAAGAGGAGGUCAAUGAGAUGGAGAAUGACCUGACAAGGAGACGACUGGAGAGAUCAAACUCUGCCUCCCAAAUUCCUUCAAACUGGUGUACAGUAAGGCUGAUGACACUAAAUAUCGAGGAGAUGAAGCAGUUGCGGUGCAAGAACAGAUUACUACAAAUCGACAUUGACUGCCUCACCAAAGAAAUUGAUCUCUUUCAAAAAAGAGGUCACAGGCAGGUCACAGGGGAAGUAAUCGAACCACGAUUCCUCACGCGCAUGCACAAAAGACCAAGAUGACUGCGAUCAACAGCGGCUUAGUUGGAGCUCCCAGUUCAUGUGAAGAAUCACAGGUAAAGUAAGUAACGUGUAUAUCCAAUAUUUAUUUCUUAAAAUUGUUCCAUUUUAAAUAAUAUGUCGCUUUGGGGUUACACAUUAGCUUGCAAGCUAAAGACAUAUGCCUCAGUGCUCAUCGGUACCCUCCUCUCAGCUAUGUAGUAUGUGCAUUUGUUUACAACUAAGCUAGUGGGAAUCCGUGGAGCGAUGUGUUAUCAUAUACACAUGUAUGUUUGUGUCGUCUUGUCUGUCACAAACAAGACGUUAGGGCCGGGUACGGGUUGUGUUUCUGUCGUGAUGCAGCUGAGAUGAGAGCUGGGAGUCAAGAGUGGGACACCGGGUUGGCUCUGAUCUUUUUUUAGGUAGCUUUUCUGCCAAGAGAGUCAAGAGAUGCUAAGUGGAAGACUGGGCCUCCAUUCUUCCUGUAACAAGUCAUUUAUUUAACCAGCACUGUUACUCUCCAGCUGUUUAAUUGAGGUAGAAAAAAAAUAACAACAAGCCAAAUAUCCCGCAUAGUUCCCCUUUCCAUCAGAGCUUCGUCCCUAGCAACGAUGUUGACAGCACUCAUUAGAGCCCUAUAAUAGUUAAACAACGUUUUAACUCGCAAGCUAAUGAUUGGCAUAUUAAUUUGCUAAAAAUACUCGAGUUUUACAAAUAAGUACUGUAUUUUAAAUGUCUGUCCAGUCUAACGUAGAAUUGUUUAGAAUUCUGUCGUUUUUGUCAACAGUGGCAUUGAAUGCAUCCAAGUUGUAUUUUUGAAAUUGUUUUGUUGACCAGUUAUUGGAAUUAAUGAAAUCAUUUUUAUUUUAUGCUUGUGGUUCAUGACUUUCUAUCUGUUCCUGCUUUUACCCCUGUUGCUAAGACUCAUAAAAUUUCCCUUAAGGAUCAAUGAAGAUUAUUUAUGUUUUAAUUGUUGUUAAUAUUUUGCCUCUGCAGAUUCAAACACUGUCUUUCUAUACAGAUUUUUUUUAAUCUGGAACCAACAACAAAUAACUACUCAAAGACUUUUUUUUUUUCUUUCCAAAGACAGUGGGAAACUAUGGAUGGCCGCCAAGGCUCAGGGGCGAUGAAGGCGUUGAAAUGUCUCAAUUGCUGAAACCAUGUUGACUGUUGUUAGCGCUGGAAGAGGGAACGGAGUAUAUAUAAUCAGAGAAGCUCUUAAGAACAUCACAGAAGGUUGGGAUAACAAUCCUUUAAAGACUAAAGAUGGACUCUCACCAAACCAGCUUUGGGUUUUGGGUCAGAUGAAGAUUUGCAGAAUGUGGAGCUAUUUGGAACUGACUGGGAGACGUUUGAUGCUGUGCAUGGGAAUCCAUAUGGAGUUUAAGUUCAAGAAAUUGAGUACCCUCUGACUCCAUCUAUUAUUGAAACUGCACAAUCCCUAAUUGAUCCCUUGGCAGUUGGCAUCAUCAGAAUCAUUUGGCAGAGACAUUUACAUAAUGUUUCAGUUUAUUGAAGCUCCAAGGGAAACAUGAGAAAUGCCUGCGAAAAGACCUUGCAAAAUAUUAAACGGUAUAAGGGUGAACAUUUACAGACAGUCUACUUGUUUCAAAAAAAGGCUUGCUCUGACUGACAUCUGUUAACUUUAACGUGAGACAGGAGUCCCAAACAUUUUUAUUGAAAAACAAAACAAACUGCAUAGAGGUUUUAACAAAAGCUGCAUUUGUUGUGACUAGUUGACAGGAAUUACUGUAUGUUGUAGCAAUUGUUCAGACACCUGUUAAUGUCAACACAACUAUGUAAGUCAUCCACUUGUAACCCCUCCAUGUCUAUUUCCAUGAAAUUGUUAUCCUAGAGGUCACUAUAUUACAUUCCAUCAAUUACAUUAAUUUGAAAUAGUGACAAAGGUUAAAAAAAAAAACACACUCCGAUUGUAUUGGUUGUAUAGUUUGACUUUGACUCAAUUAACCAUUUAUACUGCACUGUAUAAAAUGUACUGCAGGAUAGCAGAAAAGGUUAACCUCCUUAUUACCCUCUCUUGACUAAAACAUACCAGAAUCUUUAAUUUCCUGAAUAUAGUACUGGAGAAAGUUCCUUUUGGUUCUUUGCAGAACCAAUCUCACAGAAGGAGGGGUGCAUCCACUUUUAAGAAGGAAGUGCAUUUCAGUCUACAUAAACAUUGUAAUUCUUGAAAAGGACAUUCAUAUUCAAUUAAAGGCAGUCUAA